rnacentral:rRNA from 1 species
UAAGAAGGGUGCCAGCGUUAAUCGGACUUACUGGGCGUAAAGCGCGCGUAGGUGGUUCAGCAAGUUGGAUGUGAAAUCCCCGGGCUCAACCUGGGAACUGCAUCCAAAACUACUGAGCUAGAGUACGGUAGAGGGUGGUGGAAUUUCCUGUGUAGCGGUGAAAUGCGUAGAUAUAGGAAGGAACACCAGUGGCGAAGGCGACCACCUGGACUGAUAAGGACACGGAGGUGAGAAAGCGGGGGGAGCAAACAGGAGGAGAUACCCCCGGAGUCC